rnacentral:misc_RNA from 1 species
GAACUGCUGUUCAGGAGUAAUAAGGUCUAAACGUGUUCACUAAACUUGUUCUGAACUUUGGUUUAUCACAUUCCAAUGCAUUUGGUGAAUGUUCUUAUUGAAAACAGAAUGUCAAACCUUCCAUAAUGGAACAGGUAUCCAGCGACUUAAGAGAAAAUAUGAUGAGCUCUUCAGUAGAGUCCAUGAAAAGAAAAAUUUAUCCUCUUAUGCAGGGUAAAGUGCCAUUUAACCAUUAUCUAGAGAUGUCAAAUCUAUCAAUGAGCUUAGUUCAAAUCAGCAAAGCAUAGAAUGUUG